UGGCGUUCGCCAGCCUGGAAGGAGAGUUUCUGGUGAUGCAUUGCCUGAGAAUAGAGGUGGGAUAGGGAGUUGGCCGCGCUGCUGAAAGUGGUGUACAAGGUACGAUCCACCUCAUCUAGGCGCGUUGCAUCGGAUUUCCUCUUCUUUGCCAUGGGAAAAAAUGGGAUUUCUUAUGAUUUUUGACAAAACCCUAGAUUGCUUGGUCCGUAUAAGAUGUAUGUCUAUAUAUAAGAAAUACAUGGGAAGGAAAAUGUUGCAAGUGCUCAGGUUACAUUGUACAGGGUGAUGAUAGUUGUAAACAAAAUGGCUUUACUAACUCUCACGUAAUUAGUAGAUUUCACGUGAAUUUAAAAAAUAUCGAUUUGUAGUCCUCACAUCCAUUGUAAGUAAUGAAUUUGUAAAAAAAAAUUUUGUACAUCAGUACAUGUAGCAUGAUCCUUAUGCACAACCCAUUUGGCUGAAAUUUUAUUGGAUUUUAAAAUAUUGUAAAUCUUAUAAAACUAAUGAAUUAUCUUGAAUUUAAAUAGAUUUAAUCGAAUUUAUUGAGUAUUUUCAAAUUUGAAAUCCAUUCAAAUAUUCUGGAAUCCCAUGUUCUUAAUUGAGAGUUUAAAUUAAAAUUUCAAUUCGAAACACCUAAAUUUAGAAAGAUUUUUAAAUUUUCAGUUGAGUAUACCUCAACAUCAAUUGGAUCAUGACAAUUUGUAUGAUAUCUCGGUGCUUAGCACAUAAGUGCAUGACAAGAGUUAUUGCUGAACUAAUUAAUCCUCUGAACGAUCAUAUUCUUAUUCAUCACUAAUUAUUGCUCUCGUUUGACCUCUAUUAUUUUUCAUUCCAUUACAUUUUAUUUUUAUCUCUUCUAUUUUUAACCACACAAUCUUCCAUAAAAUAAUAUUACUCGUAAACAGAAAACUUUUUCUUUUUUUCAACUACUAAUUUUCAAAAAAUUAUUAUUUCACCCAUUUUCAUUUUCCACAAAAUGGGGGCCAAACAGGGGCAUUGUUUCAUGUCAAUAGUACGUGGAAGAUCUUUACUAUAUUCAAUCUCGUUAUAUGUACCCGAUUGUUUACUUGAUGGUUGAUAGUGGCCCAAAACAAAGAAACCCUUACCACUUUUUCACUUUCAUUUACCCCAAAACACAAAAAAAAAAAACCCUCAGAGGCAAAACAAUCGUUUGAGGAGAGCUGAAGCUGCACUCUUCCUGGCCUUGUUAAGAAGCCCGUGCUUAACCUAGUGAUCAUCUCCAUAUUUGGGUUUCGCACCUUAAGUGAAUCGAAUGGUUGGUAAAUAAAAAUUCAUAGCUGCAAGAGAGAAGCUGACCAUGUAUAGCAAGAUCAUCCAUCGCUGAAGCCAUCGCCUCCGACGAAAUCUUGAGCAAAUAUUAUGUAAGUAUGAUAUUUGUUCAUCGCUUGUUAUCGUGAUCGACUAAUUUCAGUUUCAAUGAAUACAACCCGACAUUCUUGGUAGGAAAAAAUGUCACCCUCAUCCCGACCGUAUCGAAGAUUUUUUAAAAUUUAUCCAAUUUUGACUUCAAAUACGAAACAGCUAAAAAUAGGGUGUUGAGUGUACUACUGGAACUAAAAAUAACAUACCAACAAUUAAUUUGAUUUUUACUGUGUUAAUAAAUUCAGGUUCAAAUAAAGCCAGAGACAAAUAAUUAAGAAAAAAUAAAAACGCAAAUCAACUUUAAUUAAAUCAAGUUGAUUUUUAAACAUUACAGCGACAUUGCCCUAAAACUCAAUUACAGAUAAAUCCAUAAAGCAAAGAAGAGGAACAAACCAGCGAGUGGCGUUCGCCAGCCUGGAAGGAGAGUUUCUGGUGAUGCAUUGCCUGAGAAUAGAGGUGGGAUAGGGAGUUGGCCGCGCUGCUGAAAGUGGUGUACAAGGUACGAUCCACCUCAUCUAGGCGCGUUGCAUCGGAUUUCCUCUUCUUUGCCAUGGGAAAAAAUGGGAUUUCUUAUGAUUUUUGACAAAACCCUAGAUUGC
rnacentral:lncRNA from 1 species